AUUUUGCAGGGGAAUUUGUGCCACCCAGUUGCUGUGUAUAUGAAAACAGACUGGGCCAGUAUCUGGACCUGCAAAAAUGUCAGUCAUUCGCAUUUGGCCCACCAAGAAUGCAAACUGGGGCGCAGAAUAACGCUCUUCAUUACAGGGGUUGUUACUCUGCUGCAAGAGAGAUUGUCAUUAAACAGGCAAACCUUGUUAUCGGCAUCGUAUUCUCGUUCUGCGUAUUUCUGAUUACUGGUGUUGUGGUUGGAGUUUUGUUUAUCCGUAAGUUGGGUGAGACAGGGGAAAUGGAAUACUAAGUAUGAUGGUGAAUGCUUUUCUUUCAUAUUGCUGGUAUUGUGAUGGGCGUUAUAUUUAUAUUGAAGUUGAAAGAAAGUGACCAAGGGGAUUAUAACGUGGGUAUGGCUGACAGAGAAUAAUAAUAAUUUGUAUCACCAUAAUAAUAAUAGAUAUCACAAUAGAAGUAGAACGAAAAAGGAAUUUGUUAGAAAAAUGGAAUAUGUUUUAAUUGAAGCAAUCUGUUUGUUGUAACCAAUUGCUCUAAGAUUUGAAGAUUAAAUACAAAUUGAUUUAUUUCAGAAUUAUGAUACAAACCAUUUAGAAAUUUGAAAAAAAGGGUUUUUAUUUGGAAUCAAUGUAAAGAGUUACAGCCUUUUUUAAAAGCUUUUUAUUCUGAGUGAAACAGCGAGUGAUGGAAAAUCCAUGCAUUGGGAGUUUCCUACUGCAAUUAAGUUUUGUGUGACCUCAAUUUCUGGCAGCAAUAUUUUAAGCAUACACAUGCAAAAUUAAACAUUCCAUACAAAUCUAUUUGCAUGUGUUUAUAUAUGUUACAGUACACCAAGGGCUUAAGCAAUGUGCUGUUUUAAGCACAAAUAGUUUUAAAAAAUUUCAGGAGUAUAUUCUGGAUUUUGCAUACGAAAGCCUCCAGAUAGCUUACCAGUGCUGGGGCGAUAGAAGAACAAUACGAUUUCUAAUUCGAAAUUUACGAAUAUUUUUGCUCCAACUUGAUGGUAAAAUACUGGAAAAAAAUGUAUAAUACUAUACGUGACUAGACAGAAUACUUAUUACAACAUAGAAACAUAUCAAAAUUGAACUCUUAAACACUUUAUGACUAGACAUAUUAAUGCUUAUCCUGUCGGAAAAUAUACUGAAUUACGAAGACAGUAAUUAAUGAGUAAUAUAUACUUUUACUUUGAAAAAGUAUACAACAUUCUAUGUUAAAUCUGAACUAAAGCAAUCUUAAUAAACAAGAAAUUCUAAUAAAGCUAGGUACGAGAAUGACAGAGUGCGAAUGAUUCGCCAAAACUAAAAUGACGGGAUUGUACACAGUAGGAGUGAUGACAGAAAAAAAUAUACUAUUGUAAAGUAGGGAAUUAUACAAAAUAACGAAAACGACCAAAACUCACACCAUAAUUGGCGAUAAACGAAAAACAAUUGUGAAUAGUGUUGAGCAAUCGCCAUACGGUGUAACGAACACGAAGGCGAGGCCAAACCGCCCAAAGCAGUUUAAGUAACGAUAAGUAAUGAGCGGAAAGUGAAGAGACGAAGCGCCUCCCGAAAGGGUUCUAGAUAAGGAACACCGAACAUCACAGAGUAUGCAUUAUGUUUUAUAAAUCUAGUGUUCAAAAUGUUCAUCAUUCAAAACAUGUUUCGUGUUGACAUGAAUGUUCAUUAUAAGUAUGCAUGCCUUAGUUGUCUAUGUUAGGUUCAUUGAUUUCGUAAUGUUACUCCAUGGGAAGUUUGUUUUAAUGAUC